UCUACGGGCGGCAGCAGUGGGGGAUAUUGCACAAUGGGGGAAACCCUGAUGCAGCGACGCCGCGUGUGGGAAGACGGUCCUCUGGAUUGUAAACCACUGUCCCCAGGGACGAAGAUGACGGUACCUGGGGAGGAAGCUCCGGCUAACUACGUGCCAGCAGCCGCGGUAAUACGUAGGGAGCGAGCGUUGUCCGGAAUUACUGGGUGUAAAGGGAGCGUAGGCGGGGAUGCAAGUUGGGUGUAAAAACUACCGGCUCAACUGGUAGGCGCACUCAAAACUGGAGCUCUUGAGUUCAGUAGAGGUAGGCGGAAUUCCUGGUGUAGCGGUGAAAUGCGUAGAUAUUAGGAGGAACACCAGUGGCGAAGGCGGCCUGCUGGGCUUUUACUGACGCUGAGGCUCGAAAGUGUGGGGAGCAAACAGGAUUAGAUACCCCUGUAGUC
rnacentral:rRNA from 1 species